rfam:Triticum aestivum genome assembly, contig: Triticum_aestivum_CS42_TGACv1_scaffold_223504_3B
UAUAUGCUCCCUCCGUCUGGAAAUACUUGUCGGAAAAAUGGAUAAAAAUGGGUGUAUCUAGAACUAAAAUACGUCUAGGUACACUCAUUUCUUCGACAGGUAUUUUUGGACGGAGGGAGUACUAU